rnacentral:rRNA from 1 species
UGAGUAGGCGGUUGUAUAUGUCAGGUGUAAAAGGCUAUGGCUUAACCAUGGUUAGCACUUGAAACUGUACAACUUGAGUGCAGGAGAGGUAAGUGGAAUUCCUAGUGUAGCGGUGAAAUGCGUAGAUAUUAGGAGGAACACCAGUGGCGAAGGCGACCUACUGGACUGUAACUGACGCUGAGUCACGAAAGCGUGGGUAGCAAACA